AUUGAACGCUGGCGGCAGGCCUAACACAUGCAAGUCGAGCGAAUGAGGGAAGCUUGCUUCCCGAUUUAGCGGCGGACGGGUGAGUAAUGCCUAGGAAUCUGCCUAUUAGUGGGGGAUAACGUUCCGAAAGGAACGCUAAUACCGCAUACGUCCUACAGGAGAAAGUGGGGGAUCUUCGGACCUCACGCUAAUAGAUGAGCCUAGGUCGGAUUAGCUAGUUGGUGGGGUAACGGCUCACCAAGGCGACGAUCCGUAGCUGGUCUGAGAGGAUGAUCAGCCACACGGGAACUGAGACACGGUCCAGACUCCUACGGGAGGCAGCAGUGGGGAAUAUUGGACAAUGGGCGAAAGCCUGAUCCAGCCAUGCCGCGUGUGUGAAGAAGGUCUUCGGAUUGUAAAGCACUUUAAGUUGGGAGGAAGGGUUGUAAGCUAAUAUCUUGCAGCUUUGACGUUACCAACAGAAUAAGCACCGGCUAACUCUGUGCCAGCCGCCGCGGUAAAAC
rnacentral:rRNA from 1 species